CAUUAGGUGACACCUAGGGGGACACGUGGGGAACCUAGGGGAAAUAUAUAAAUAGUGUGAGAAUGACUCACAAAUCAUUCUUCAGCAACUACGAAUACAACAAAAAAACUUAAGAAAAUUUUGAAGGAUUCUCGGCCAAGUUGAAUCUUGCCGAGAAUUGAGAAGUUGAAGGAGGAAAUUGUAUAUUUCAAAUUGUUGUAUAUAUUCAAGGAUUCCAACGUGAAUUGAUUUUCGGAGUCAAGUUGAGAAAGGCUAAAAGAGCGACGAGGCGAACGGAUUUACGAAUAGCCACUAACAGGUACAGACGCUCGUUUCGGAGAUCCGCCAGCCUAGGAUAUCUAUUCAGCUAUUUUUGAGUGCUCCUUUGUUCCGGAGCCUUACUUUGUGGUAUAGAUCCCUUUUGUUGUAUAUAUAUGUGUUUGUUCAAGGUACGGCGGGGCCCUGUCCCGUCAUAUGAUAUUGUUGUUACUCUUAGAGGUCUGUAGACAUAUGUGUGGGUCUGUAUAUAGUUGUUGUUUCGUUGUGUGGACAUGACUUAUGUGUGGGGCGUACCAAUUCGUAGUGGCAGCCUUGUCGGCUUGCGUAGAUAUAUAUAUAUAUAUAUAUAUAUAUAUAUAUAUAUAUAUAUAUAUUGUGGAAGGUGUGUAAAAUGGUAGCCUUGUUGGCUUAUGUAUUACUGGGACGUUCCCCUAUAUAUGACAGCCUUGCCGGCUUAUGUGCGAUAUAAUCUGUUGAAAGUUGUAACUCCUCAGGAGACAGGUGGCUAUGACAUGCAUAUAUGCAACAGCUUUAGAGUAACGUCUUGUCUUUAUAUAUAUAUAUAAGUUCUUGUCAUGCUAGCUGUAGAUGAUUAUAGUUAAUAGGUGUAUACGAGUGUCCAGCUCGGGCACUAGUCACGGCCUACGGGGUUGGGUCGUGACAAUUUGUAAAUUCGGUGUUGGAUUUUGUUGGUGGUGGGCUGGCGGCAAUGGUGGUGGUUUAAUUGUCACACCCCGACCUUACUAGGGUGUGAUGGGCACCCGACCCCACAUCCGGAGCCGAGCGGACCCACAGACUCUUAUCACACACAUAAUUUUUUUUUUUUUCGAAUAACACUAAAAUGUAAAAUAUAACUUUCAGAAAUAUUUCUUUUGUUGCGUUCAAAGUACAUAAAAUCUGUAGUCAAACAAAGCCAAUCGCAUAUGACGUAUCGGCUGACGGAGCCGCUCACAGACUGACAACCAACACCCACGACGCUGUCUGCAAAGCCUCUAACACAGAUCCAGAAAUCAUAACAGACAAACUCUGACUCGGCAGCACUCCGGGCAAAUGGAGUUUGCCAUCUCCACUGGAACAUCUUCUACAAUAACUUCAGCUCAUCUGGGA